rnacentral:rRNA from 1 species
UACGGAGGGUGCAAGCGUUAAUCGGAAUUACUGGGCGUAAAGCGCACGCAGGCGGUCUGUCAAGUCGGAUGUGAAAUCCCCGGGCUCAACCUGGGAACUGCAUCCGAAACUGGCAGGCUAGAGUCUUGUAGAGGGGGGUAGAAUUCCAGGUGUAGCGGUGAAAUGCGUAGAGAUCUGGAGGAAUACCGGUGGCGAAGGCGGCCCCCUGGACAAAGACUGACGCUCAGGUGCGAAAGCGUGGGGAGCAAACAGGAUUAGAUACCCUGGUAGUCCACGCCGUAAACGAUGUCGACAGGGAGGUUGGGCCCUUGAGGCGUGGCUGCCGGAGCUAACGCGUUAAGUAGACCGCCUGGGGAGUACGGCCGCAAGGUUAAA